GCUCUGGUGGCCUAGUGGUUAGAGCAUCCGCACCAGAUGCGGGAGGUCGUGGGUUCGAACCCCAGCCGAGUCCU